CCUGCCCCCAAAACUUACUCACCAAUGCCCAUAACUUACUUGUGCCCAUAAACUUACUCACCAAUCCCCAUACACUUACUCACUACCAGGGCUGCACAUUUGAAUCUUACCAGGGCACACACUAAGAAUUAUUUGUCCUGGUAUAUUGUGGCUAAUUCUUAUGGCUCCAUAGUGUAGUGGUUAGCAUGCCUACCUAUGAAUCUGCCAGCCAGGGUUGGAAUCCCCCUCCCUGGACAGUCAUUUAAUUGUUGCCCACUUAUGAAUUUUCCCCAAAAACAUUUGAGUAAGAAUUAAUUUUGUCAUAGGUAUGUAGGUGAGUAAGGUUAGGUUAUGUUCAUCCUUCCUUUCAGGCGGGCUGGAUGUACCUAUUGUUAGACCUUGCUGUAUAGAUCUCUCUCUCUCUCUCUCUCUCUCUCUCUCUCUCUCUCUCUCUCUCUCUCU